AUUAUUUAUUCUAUGGAUUUUUACGCUCAUUUGCCUCUACUGCAAUAACAAAGUUUUGACUGUUUAAUUUUCAUUCAAGUAUCUAUAUUUCAUUUGUUAAGCAAACAUAGCAGAGCUUCUGCGUUGUAACCCUGUGUGGUUUUAUAUUUCUAUAUACACACACAGAGCUGAAGAAGCCAAACUUACCUUUGGCAUCUAUAUGUGAGGGAGCUUCAGUAUGUUAUUCAUUAUAUGUGAGUCCAUUUAAUUUUUCUUUCUCCUGUAGACUAUUUGCAAAUAUUCAUUGUGGUAAAUCCUUCCUCCCCAUACUCUUGAACACUCAAUACAGCUAAACUUUUGGAUGGCAUGAAAUGAGGAUGUAAGUGGUUUGUAUGAGCCUAAUCUCCAUGCUGGAGGUUUAGAAGGAGAGGGGUGAUAGGAAAAAGACCUAAAUAAGGCUUGAAGAGUUUUUUUCAUAUGGUGUGCAAAUUUUGUAUGCAAUGCCAUUUGUCCCCAACUGUCUUGAAAUUUCUAAAACUGUUAUUUCUACUUCCUUAAGUAGGGUCCAGUCAGAGUACAGAUGCCUAAUUGUUCUGGCACACCUGUUCAGGUCCAUAGUAAUUUUCCUGAUUUGAUCAGUUUUGGGAUUUAUUCAGUUAUCUACCUUGGAUAUCUGAGGGAUUCAGAGCAUGGAGAACAAGGUCCAUUUUGGAGCCUUCACAGAGGUAAGCUGCUGCUUCUUCCUUUCUUCAGGGAAGCUGUGCUUGCAUUGAAACAUCUGGAGAUUAUGCACAGAGGUAAGAGACAGAAUGGCUUUUCUCUAAAGUCUUUUCAUUGUUUCUAGUUUGCCUGCUCAAAGAGGUGAAGAGAGGGAAGGCCCAUGGUAGUGACUUUCAGGGAACUUGCAGAAGAGCCAAAGCUCUGUUCCCUAAUGCUACAAAGCCUAAAAAUCUUCAGACUUUGACUCCAUAUUCCCCCUGUCUUGAGGGGUCUUCUUGUCCCUCACAGGAGAGAAGGAGAAGUCAGGUUAUGUUAAUCAAAACCACUAACAGGAAAAUGCUUCCUUUUCCCAAACCAGACAAAAUAAAAAGUGACCUUUUUUUUAAAUUUUUUUUUUUAGCAUCCUGGCAGUUGUAUUGCCACCGUCCUAAGAGAAAGUGAUACAAACUCCUGGGGCUGAUUCUGUCAGAGUCACCAAUUUUCCAAACAACCUCAACCUCAGAAUUUAAGUAAGGCUUAGAACAUUGAUCAUCUCUCACUCACUGUGAAAAAACAUCCUUGCUUUGUAUGCUACAGUGUCCAAUCGAGACUUCGCUGGCAGAAAUAAUUACCUUCUCCCAUCGGAAGUUGAAGAGGACUCCAACUAAAAUCACUAAAUCCUUGUACCAGCUCAUGCAAAGAUGGACUUUAUACAUUCCUUGAAGAGCCUGGCUUUGUGGUACAAACUGGUGGGGGUGGUGGUCACGGAAGAGCAAAGGCAUCAGUAGCUUUCAAUACUAAAGCCUAGCACAAGGAAAGCAGAAGGGUAUCAAGGCCAUGUCUCCAAACAUCUUGGGAUCCACCCAGCUUUAUGAAGGGUAUCAAAAAAAGAUAUUGUGAUCAUAGGUGCAGAUUUGCUGGAGGAAACCAGUGUUCACUCUGCUUUGUUGGAUCUGUCACUGUCUCCAGCAGGAAACAUAGCUGUAACUCAGGAAGGGUUUCAAUUAUCUUCUUGUUCACUGGAAAUAGAAGAAACCUCAAGCUGACAUGUUUCUCAAGAAGGAUUCCAAGGGAUGCAUACUUCAUACCACAGAACCACAGAAACCAGAAAGAAGGAAAAAAAAAAAAAAAGAAAGAAAAAUUUCUAACUGACUCUAAAGUCUUCACUGUCACAAAUUAAAGGGAAGCAGAACAUUAUUAGCUUUGUUAUCUAUUUACUAGCACCUUACUGUCACCCAUGUUUUAAAACUGCAGUAUCAAACACGCUGGGGCACUUUGCUGUCAUGCUAAUGAGCUGGCUUGUCACAUGUAUCAUAUAUCUCACACUUACAAGAAAGAAAAAAGACACACGGUUUGUAAAUAUGUGCACAACCUACUGCAGGAACACAGGGACCUCAAGGAAAUGUACACUGUGGAUGACUACAGAGACAUCACAGUUUACCACCUGAACUGUCUCCCCUGGGUUUUAACAAUGGGAUUACAUUUCAAAAACUGUCUUCUUUAAAUGAGUAACUACAAAACACUGUAACACUCUUCUUUUUCCUGCAUGCUAGCAUCACCAUUCUCUGAAAGCAGAGAAAGCUCUGCCUUCUUGCAGCUUUUCUGAAUGCAUUGUCCAGGGAUAAAUCUGAAGCCUUCUUGAAGUUAAUAAUCUGUUACUUCUGUACUUCUUCUAAGCUUCUGAACAGCUUAGGAGCAAGUAUGAGCCAAGGAAUUGUUUAAUAUGUAAGUAAGACAAAUAUUGGAAAGUGUUUUCAGGUUAAUCAAUAUAACUUUAAAAAAAAAGCCAGACUGUUCCUCUAGUGCAGAAUUUCCCCAUUGUUGCUGCUAUUCAUAUGCUGCUGUAGACAGAAAAAUAAAAAGUGUUCCCUCUGCUAGUUUUUUAAUUUUAGAUAUUU